UACGAAGGGGGCUAGCGUUGCUCGGAAUUACUGGGCGUAAAGGGCUCGUAGGCGGCCAACUAAGUCAGACGUGAAAUCCCUCGGCUUAACCGGGGAACUGCGUCUGAUACUGGAUGGCUUGAGGUUGGGAGAGGGAUGCGGAAUUCCAGGUGUAGCGGUGAAAUGCGUAGAUAUCUGGAGGAACACCGGUGGCGAAGGCGGGUCUCUGGGCCGAUACUGACGCUGAGGAGCGAAAGCGUGGGGAGCGAACAGG
rnacentral:rRNA from 1 species